GGCUGGUCCAAGUGCAGUGGUGUUUACAAUUAAUUGAUCACAACUAGUUACAUAUUUCUUUGUUCCUUCCCCACUCCCACCACUUGACUUGCCCUUA
rnacentral:Y_RNA from 1 species